GGCACCUACGGGACGCAGCAGUGAGGAAUAUUAGUCAAUGGGCGGAAGCCUGAACCAGCCAAGUCGCGUGAGGGAAUAAGGCCCUACGGGUCGUAAACCUCUUUUGCCGGGGAGCAAGGGCCGGGACGCGUCCCGGCCCGGAGAGUACCCGGAGAAAAAGCAUCGGCUAACUCCGUGCCAGCAGCCGCGGUAAUACGGAGGAUGCGAGCGUUAUCCGGAUUUAUUGGGUUUAAAGGGUGCGUAGGCGGGCUUUUAA
rnacentral:rRNA from 1 species